rnacentral:rRNA from 1 species
CUCAGAACUUAAAGGAAUUGAGGGGGCCCGCACAAGCGGUGGAGCAUGUGGUUUAAUUCGAUGAUACGCGAGGAACCUUACCUGGGCUCAAAUGUAUGUUGACGUAUUCUGAAAGGGAUACUUCUUCGGACAAUAUACAAGGUGCUGCAUGGUUGUCGUCAGCUCGUGCCGUGAGGUGUCGGGUUAAGUCCCAUAACGAGCGCAACCCCUACCUUUAGUUGCCAUCAGGUUAAGCUGGGGACUCUAAAGGAACUGCCUACGCAAGUAGUGAGGAAGGCGGGGAUGACGUCAAAUCAGCACGGCCCUUACGUCCAGGGCUACACACGUGCUACAAUGGCCGAUACAGAGGGCAGCUACCUGGUGACAGGAUGCAAAUCUCCAAAGUCGGUCUCAGUUCGGAUCGGAGUCUGCAACCCGACUCCGUGAAGUUGGAUUCGCUAGUAAUCGCGCAUCAGCCAUGGCGCGGUGAAUACGUUCCCGGGCCUU